CCUACGGGGUGCAGCAGUAGGGAAUAUUGCUCAAUGGGGGAAACCCUGAAGCAGCAACGCCGCGUGGAGGAUGAAGGUUUUCGGAUUGUAAACUCCUUUUGUUAGAGAAGAUAAUGACGGUAUCUAAAGAAUAAGCACCGGCUAACUCCGUGCCAGCAGCCGCGGUAAUACGGAGGGUGCAAGCGUUACUCGGAAUCACUGGGCGUAAAGGGCGCGUAGGCGGGUUAGCAAGUCAGAUGUGAAAUCCUAUGGCUUAACCAUAGAACUGCAUUUGAAACUGUUAUUCUAGAGUAUGGUAGAGGUAGGUAGAAUUCUUGGUGUAGGGGUAAAAUCCGUAGAGAUGUAGAGGAAUACUCAUUGCGAAGGCGACCUGCUAGAACAUGACUGACGCUGAUGCGCGAAAGCGUGGGGAGCAAACAGGAUUAGAUACCCCUGUAGUC
rnacentral:rRNA from 1 species